CUUCCCUUUCUCUGUUUGUAUUACGUUCUGACAAAUUAUAUUAUCCGCAAGGAGACAUUCCCAUUCGAUCGGAACAGAGACGCAAACACAUGAGCUCCGCUGGAGCUCCGAUUCGACAAUGGCGCUCGCAAAUCCAUGUUCUCCAACCCUCCCUCAGCCCCGGGCAGUUCACUCUCCGCUUCCGCCGCCUCACUGCCUUCUCUUAACGGGCCACAGCCUGUUCCGGUCACGAUGGCCUUGUUCGCCGAUCAGGUUGCGCAAGGGCAUGGAUACUCUGUUUCCGGUUCCCGUGGGACUGUCGGUGAGAGUCAAUUGCCUGACGAAAUCCGUGGAGGAGAGUUCAUGGAGCGAGUCGGAAACCCUAAGUGACGACGGCGACGGCAACGAUGACGUCAAGGUUGAGCCUGUUGGUGAUAGUAAUAGCUCCUUUGAACAGCAUUCUGGUUCGAUCAGUUCGUCGAGGACCUCGUCAGGCUCUUCAACUGAUACUCCUGUGCUCGGUAUUCGUGAACCGGUUUAUGAGGUGGUUGAAGUGAAGAGCCAUGGAAUGGUAUCUACUAGGAAAAUAAAUAGACGACACUUAUUGAAGUCAGGUGGCCUUCGUCCUCGAGAUAUCCGGAGUGUUGAUCCAUCGUUAUGGUUGACAAAUUCCAUGCCCUCAUUACUGGUUCGUGAGCAUGCUAUCCUAUUGAAUUUGGGUUCCCUACGUGCUAUAGUGAUGCAAGAGUGUGUCUUCAUAUUCAACUACAACCGUAAAGGAGGGAAAGCUUUUAUAGAUGCAUUGUUGCCUCGGUUAAAUCCAAAAAAUAUGAAUGGAGGGCCAUCCAUGCCAUUUGUGCUUGAGGUUGUGGAAGCAGCCUUACAUUCACGUAUACAGCGACUGGAGCAUAGACUAAUGGAUUUAGAACCACAUGUUCAAGGUUUGCUUGAGGUUUUACCUAACCGACUAACUGCUGACAUAUUGGAGCAACUUCGAAUUAGCAAACAGACCUUGGUUGAGUUGGGUUCAAGGGCAGGUGCUCUCAAACAAAUGUUGCUUGAUAUUCUUGAGGACCCCCAUGAAAUCCGCCGAAUCUGUAUUAUGGGAAGAAACUGCACUCUUAAGAAAGGAAGUGAUGACAUGGAAUGCUCUGUACCACUAGAAAAACAGAUUGCUGAAGAAGAGGAGGAAGAAAUUGAAAUGCUUCUGGAGAACUAUCUUCAAAGAUGUGAAUCUUGUCAUGGUCAAGCAGAAAGGCUUCUUGAUUCUGCAAAAGAAAUGGAAGACUCUAUUGCUGUCAACUUAAGCUCUCGGAGGCUUGAGGUAAGCAGAGUGGAAUUGCUUCUUCAAGUUGGGGCAUUUUGUGUUGCUGUUGGUGCUUUGGUUGCAGGUAUAUUUGGCAUGAACUUGAAGUCCUAUCUUGAAGAACAUGUGUUUGCAUUUUGGCUGACAACGGCAGGAAUAAUUGUUGGCUCCGUCGUGGCAUUUUUUCUGAUGUAUUCAUAUCUCAGGGCAAGGAAAAUUCUAUAAGCUUCAGAACAAAGUAAUUAAGUUAGCAAGGAUAACCACUGCCCAUUUAUUUCAAGGGUCCCUGACUCCUUGAUAUUAGUGACAGGUGUGGUGCCAGCAAGUUAGACAAACCUGUCGACUUGACAGUAGCCUCUCUCAAGUAUUUACUGCUGUUUGAUUGGGUGGACUAUUGGUCAGAUGCAUACAAAUAGAGCUUCAUCAUGUAGUUGGUAUUUCAUCAUUUGCCUGAAGUUUGUACAACUUUGUAGUUCUGAGGAGACGAGCAAGGACGUUCAGACAUGUUCAUUCUUGCUGAAUUGCUCCCCGUGGUGCCAUUCCUGAAGAGGAGAUCAUAGCAUGUCUUCCUUGAAGUGGUAGUUAGGUUUCUUACAAUAUAAUUUUGCCUUUCUAAUAUAUAUUUUGAUAGCGUAAGAAGAAUAUUUAUAUGCCGUUGUUGACCUUAAAUAGUGGGUAAAGGCACUUGAUAUGUUGUUGUAUAGAAGGAUUUAUAGGUAUUAAGAUUUCAUGUAUUUGAAAGAUAUAUACAACCUCCUCAAUAUACACAAACUUAGAAAGUAGUCUUCAUUUA